rnacentral:rRNA from 1 species
AACGAACGCUGGCGGCAUGCCUAACACAUGCAAGUCGAACGAAGCCUUCGGGCUUAGUGGCGCACGGGUGCGUAACGCGUGGGAAUCUGCCCUUGGGUUCGGAAUAACAGUUAGAAAUGACUGCUAAUACCGAAUGAUGUCUUCGGACCAAAGAUUUAUCGCCCAAGGAUGAGCCCCGCGUCGGAUUAGCUAGUUGGUGAGGUAAAGGCUCACCAAGGCGACGAUCCGUAGCUGGUCUGAGAGGAUGAUCAGCCACACUGGGACUGAGACACGGCCCAGACUCCUACGGGAGGCAGCAGUGGGGAAUAUUGGACAAUGGGCGAAAGCCUGAUCCAGCAAUGCCGCGUGAGUGAUGAAGGCCUUAGGGUUGUAAAGCUCUUUUACCCGGGAUGAUAAUGACAGUACCGGGAGAAUAAGCCCCGGCUAACUCCGUGCCAGCAGCCGCGGUAAU